CAUGUCCUAUUCCAAUAACAUUAGUAAAUUGACAAGUGAUAAGUGACUAGUAGAUUACAAAUUUUUAUCGUAAAAAAAAUUUCAACUUUUGUGUAAUAUUUCAUUCAUUUUAAUGGGACAAUAUUAACUAAAUUUACUUUUUUUUACUUACUUACUUCGAAAUUUCAUCCGUUUCCUUAUUAAACUUUCUAGAAAAAAGAUUCGUAUGAUAAUUUGUAAUUUUUUUUUUAUAUAAAAUUUCACGAAUAAUAUUGGAUCUAUAAUGGAAAAAAUUAUAAUUGACAGUAUAUUUUAUUAUUUUAUUAUUUUAUAUUAUCACUAUAUCAUAUUAUUAUUUUAAUAUGUUAUUACACUCUAUCACGCACUAUAUUAUUAUAAUUUCUUUUGCAAAUUAUCUUGUCUUUUUUAAGAUAAAAUGUGUUCGAAAUUUAUAUCGAUAAAACAUUAAAUCGAUACCAUGGAACGUGAAGUAGUAGCUGUUACGAACAUCAUAAAUGAUUUUCCCUACCUAUAAUGACCUAUAAUUUCGGCUUUAAAUAGCAUCCAGGCAUCGAUGUACAUACAAAGUAUCUUAUUAAAUGGAAAAACAAUACGGAAAUUGUGACACGAUUGAAAGUGAGCAAUUUAAAUAUAUAUGUUCACGAUUUAUUAAUGUAAUGAAAGUAUUUAUAUAUUAUAUAUUCGAAAUGUACUCUUGUUUAUUAAAUAUUCUGGAAAAAUCAUUCUUUUUCUUUUUGUAUCGAAAAUAACAGUGAUUUUUUUUUUUUAAUACAUCAUAAAUAUGACAUUUAUAAAAUACUAUUAGAACUUUCGCUCACAGCAAGGUCGAUCGAAUUCCUAUCACAUACGCUAUAAUACACAUUAAGAGGGUGCACUCUUGCGUAAAGAAUCAAUAUCAUCUUUCAUUAAAAAUUUUCUAUCCUGAAACUUUCUUCCUCGAUAUUCCGUAUUAAGAAAUAAUUUUUUUUUCAAUAUUUAAACAGAAUAUUUAAUAUCUUCUUUUUAAUAUUUAAAUUGUAAUAAAUAUCAUGCACAAAAAAGAAUUAAUAAAUGCUUUUUAUUUAUAACUUGUUUAAUAAGUUUUUUAUAAAAUUAUAUAUUUUUUAUUGAUUAAACUUGCUGUUCUCCAAUGACCUCCUUCAGAUUUUCAUUAUUUUUUUCUUUUCAUAAUAAAAUCAUUAUUAUUACUAUUAAUUUCUUAUUAAUUUCUCAUUUUAAUUUUUAUGCUAAAGCAUACUUUACUUAGAAUAUUAUCUUUUUAUAUGUUAUAUGUUAUAAACACAAGAGACUUGAAAAUUUGGAAAUUAUAGCAAAAUUAACAAAUUUUCUUUAUUCAUUAUUUAUCAUGAUAAGAUAAUUUUUUUUCGCGAUCAUACAAACAAUUUCAAUCAAGAUAUAUCGUAUACACUCAAAAUAUUUAUUUUAUUUUUUAAGAUUAUCUUAUCAAAUAAAAUUGAUUUUACUACUGGCAGAUUAGAAAAAAAAACAUUUGACAACAAUUAAUCAGUAUUAUUAUAAGAAUUGUCUGCCAUUUAAAUAUUUUAAUCAAAUCUUGUUAAAGAUAAACUUAACAAAUUGUAAUGAUAUUAAUUCAAAAAUGAAUUUUAUGGUGAUUUUUAAAUGAUUUGAAGCGAAAUAUAUAAUAGAAUAUAUUUACAGUUAUAUUUGCAUAAAUUUGAAUCUGUAAUUAAUACUAUUAUUGAACAUCAAAAUAACGUCUAAAUAAUAAUUUCAUUGAUAUCUAAUGAAUAAUUUUUACUAAUAACUAAUAAGUAAAUAAGAAUUAAAUCUUGAAGAAAAGUUAAAUAAAAAUAUUUCCAGAAAUACUAUUUUUUUAGAAUAAUCAAAUCAAAUACAUUAGAUACUUAAUGUAAAAUAAUUUAUCAUGUUCAGAUUUAAUCUACCAAUUUAUGAUCUUUUAUUGUUUAAGUAAGACGUUAAAGAAAUACUAUUUCGUGAAUUUGUUUUUACAUAUACAGCUUAUAUGUUUAAUUUAACAAUAGUUAAAAUAUUAAAUUCUCAAUUUCAAAUAUAAUUAUGACAGUGAUAUAAUUGUAAUCAACUUUAGAUAUAGCAUAAAAAAAUAUUUUGUAAUGCGAAGGAAGAGAAAGAUUAAUAUAGAAAAUUUUCUGGAUAUUUUUUAUUUGAUUCAAAUAAUCACACAUGACGAAUAAAUUUAAAAUAAUAUCCAUCAUGCGAUAACAUCAUCGGUUUACAAAUUCUUAUAUCUAUAUCUGGUUCACAAAUUCGGUGAUUAAUACUGGAUUUGACUAGUAACUUAACACUAACAGCCAACUGAAAAACGUAUACAUAACAAGAAAGAGAAAUACAAUUUUAAUAUAUUAAUAAAUUGAUGCAAGCUAUACAUACAUUUCAAGUUAUAGUAUGAUUAUGGCACACAAUCUACAACAUACAAAAUAUAUAAUAAAAAUAUAAUGCAUAUAUAGGAUAUAUUUAAAUUGAAUUUAUCAUUCGAUUAUUGUUUGAUAUUUGAUAUAUAUGCAUACAUACAUAUAUAUAUAUGCAUGUAUCGAACAUCUAACUAUAAUAAAAAUGAUAUUACAUAUUUCCAGGGAAAUUUACGACAUUCAUAUCGCAGCAUAAUACCGUACUCGUGUAGCCGUGACAUAUACGACGUUAUAUGACAUCCUUUGAUCAUCGAUCCGAGUAAAUAACACCGAUCGAUUUUCUCCACGGCAUAAUAACAUCUAUCCCGCUGCUGUAUGGCUUCGUAAUUCCACGAAGUCGCGCCAUCACUUCCCGCGCGUCGAUUCAAAACGCAUUCUCUUCUAACCGCCUUUCAUUCAUGUAAUGGUAUUUUCUGCGGCAUACACCAUCGAUUACCAUUAACAGCAAAAAUCUCGUCUCAAUGGCUCGCACCAUCACAGAAGGUUAUAAUGGCUCCGUUUUCUUCCCUUAUCGGUACACUUCUCCGCAAAGAUAGGUAAAGAGGAUGAAACAAAAACGGAGAGUAAAGAAGAGAGUGAUAUAGCGAUUCGCCGAUUCCCUUCCUCCACGUUUCAUUUCCUUCCCCACUGCAAAACUCUGUGGCCGUGAAUGCAUCUGCUCAGGGAGCUGUUACUACCCUUCGAACUGCCACUUCCAGAACUCGAUACGCUUUCAGAUCUCCUGAUCGAUUUCUUAGUUGGAUCUAACAGCCGGUCCAACAUCUGACGAAUAGUGCUGUGUUUGCGGUUAAAUGGAUUGGUGUACAUCUUGUUUUUUCUUUGGCCUUUUUCUUUCAAGAUGGAAUUCUUUUUGGAUUUGCGUUCUCGAUCGAUUAUAUUCGGAAGAGAACGUUCUUCUGAUUGCGUUUGAAACACUGUAUCACUUUUUCUUUUUUUUCUAUUCGAAUUUCAAUUGUACGUUUCACAGAUAGAUAUGAUGAUCGAAUGCUUGAAACUAACUUUGCAUCGAUCUAACCUCGCUCGAAUGAUUGCUAAGCGUCACUUGCCGGCUUUAUAUAUGCACAACGUUCGUUAUCCUUCGGUAAAGUUCGGGAAAGAUCGACUUGAGGCUUUGUACUUCAUAACGCGCAAACGGCCCACAGGUGCAUCGGUACGUAUAUUGUAUACAUGCCAGACCAAGUGCAAUCGCCUUUUAUUUCGUGCGAAAACAGAAGAUGAAAGUCAAGGGUGAGAAGUUUUUGUCCAUGUAAUAUAUUUAUUAUUGCGCCUAAUAUAUUUUACACGCCGAAAGAAAAAAAGAAAGGAGAAAACAAAGAGUUCAAAAAAUAAAGAAAAAGACGGAAAUGGACAAAAAUUUGAUCAAUCUUGGAAAAAUUCAUAGGAUUUGGUCUUGAAGAUCCUUGGACGAUCGUAGUGAACGAGUAAAACAACGAAGAAAGAAUCUUAUGGUGAAUAUUGGAAGAUUUAUAAGCUUUACUAAAAUAAUUUGUUAUAAAGCAAACGAAAGAAAAUGUACAUAAAAAUAAAGGAUAUCCAAAUCCGAAAGAAAACAAAAAUUACGUACUAUCACAUAUCAAGAAAUUUAAUUCUAGAAAAAUAAUAAUUUAUUCGUCUUAUUUUUGCACUUAAAAUAAUAAUUUUCCUGAUAUUAAAAAAACCAUAAAUCUAGUUUAGAAAUUUUAAAAGGCUCAAAAUUUUCUUUUGCACAAUUUAACUGUGAGAAAUAAUAAUUCUCUUUUGUUCGUUUUAAUCAUUCGAUUUCAUAUUUUUAACGGGCAUAAUUAUAUACUUUAAUUUACUUUAUAAUUAUAUAUACUAUAAUUUAAUAUACUUUAAUUAAAUUGAAUUUUUACAUCGUUAAACAAUUUAAAUCGAUAAAAUCACAUAGAUGUUAAUUUAAUAAAAAUUUUGUGUAAAUUAAAUGUUAAUGAGAUAAAACGUACGAUUUGAAAUUCAUCGAUUCGGUUAAACUAAACUUUGCAAAUUUCUACCUGGCGUAUCAUGAAUAAAGGAUUUUAAAGGAUAAAGAGGAUAAGAAUUCCAACGGUUUAAGAGAAAGUGAACAUUUUUGAAGAAAGUGCCUGAUCAUCCACCACUAUUGAAAAUAUUCCCCUCUUCUGAGCAAGGCUAGAUAAAAAAGAAAAGAGCCUCAAAUUCCAUUGGUAACUUAAAUUGGCAUAUUCGAAAAAUUGACCAAUCAACAUGCUUUAACAAAAUAUAAGGUCAACUUGAUAUAAUAUAAGAUAAACCUGAGCGAAGUAUCGAAUAGAAGCAAAUCAACAAUCGAAGAAAUCACUUCAAAUUGGGGAUAAACACGCUCACACUUCGCCAGGAUUCUCCGAAUAGUUGUUCAUCAUUGAUAGAUACGCAAAUUUUACUUACAAUAAUAUACAGAUUCUAUUGAAAGAUUGACAAGCAAAAAUUGAAUCAACUUGGUUCAGAAACGUGCUAUGGAUUGCAAGCUCGAACCAUCAUCGGAUUUCCGUUUACCAUAAUAUUCUAAUAAUACAAUAUGGAAAAAUAAUUUCUAAGAAUUGUAUUAGAAAUGUGUAUAAAAAAUCUUAUCUUUACUGUAAUGUAAAAUGGAGAUCACGCCACGAUAAAAUGAUUUUAUGACUAUUGAUGAUCAACUACAUGGCCAAUUUAUUUUCAAAAUGAUAGUAGUUCAAGCAAAAGAAAAUGAAGAUUUUCUACUUUUGUACUUUUCAUCAUUAUUUAAUUAAUCACACAUCUUUACUGCAGAGAACUGCUACUUACAUUCGAAGAAUGUAAAAGAUCAUGACAAAAGAAUGAUUUCAUGGAAUAAUUACCAUGAUCAACUUGCAUUUUCAAAAUAAUUGUAAUUCAAGCAAAAGAAAAUAAAGAUUGUCUCUCUUCGUCUUAUCAACAUUAUUUAAUUAAUCGCAUAUCUUCACUACAAAGAAUUAUCAUCUCAUUCGCGAAGAUAAAAAUUACUUUAUGACAAAAGAAUAAUUUUAUGGAAUUAUUGUUAUGAUCAUCCUACAUUUUCAAAAUGAUUGUAGUUCAAACAAAAGAAAAUGAAGAUUUACCAGUAUCGCAUUAUCAUCAUUAUUUAAUUAAUCGCGUGAUAACAUCUUUAUUACAAAGAACUGCCAUCUCAUUCGCGAAAAGUGUAAAACGAAGAUUGCCAUGAUACUAGUACGAACAAUCUACGUUUAAAAAUGAGAUCAAACAAAAUCUAUCAUCACUCUAUCAUCAUUCGUUGUGAUCAAUUACCAUCUAUCCUCGUUUAAAUCGAAGAUUAAAUCAAAUCUUAAUUCCUGACUUUACUUUUUAAGAGAAUGAUUUUUCACUCGAUAAAAAUUACUAUUUUGCGAAGAAUUCUUAAUUCGUACGGAUAUUUUAUAGUGGAUCAGAAAAGAUUUGAAAAUAAUUGAAGUUUAUAUAAGAAGAUACGAGGAAAAAAUUCGGAUUACAAGGAUCGAUGAAUAUCUUUGAUUGUUGAGAUAUGAAUCUAUAAAUCUUGAAUGUACAAAUUUAUAAAUAAACCUUGAUUAUUUAUAUUAUUCUAAAUUAAGAUUAACACGAAUCUUUUGAUCGAAUCGAAAAAAAGAAUGUUCUACAGAAAUUUGGACAGCAUAAAUUUAACAUCUUGUCCAAAAUAUAUUAGAAUUACAAAUUCAAAUAUACAAAAUAUACACACUUCAUCCUGAUUCAUCGUUUUAUUUUAUGUGAUUCUAAUUAUACGUACAAAGGAGAGAUUUCAUUUUUAUGGACAAUGACUUGACUACAUUUAAAAAUGAUUACAGUUCAUUCGUACAAAUAUUUGAUCAUUGAGGUAUGUACGUUUAUAAAUUAUUCUGUAAAAUAAUAAUUUUAUAAAAUUAACGCAAUUUUAUUAAGUAUUCAGGUUUUACGAAGGAUAACGAUAAUUUUACAAUUCGUCCAAAAAGAUUGCUGGCUACGUAAAAGCAUCUUCCUUACGAUUUCAAUAUAUGAAUAUUGGUUAUACAAAAUGAAUAUCUAAUCUAUCAUGAAUGACAAGUGAAAAUUCUCAUAAUGGGACGAUUUUCUAUCAAUAGAUCAACUUAAAUAACAUUUAAAAUGUUUGUACAUUGUAAAAUAAAAAGAAGAAUAUACUCAACAAACUUACACUCGUUAUAAUAUACUCGUUAUAAUAUACGUUUGGGUAUAUGUUAAUUAAUUGCUCUAUCAAUUAUUAAAAAACAAUUUGCGGUCAUCAAGACAAGAAUAUAAAUCUACGAAUCAUUUUGUAUAAUAAUCUAAAUUAAAAUUAAUAUGAAUCUUUUUUAUUGAAUAUUUAAAUUUUUGAGAAAAGAUUGGACAAUAAAUAUUGAAUAACUUAUACAGAAUAUAAUAUUGACAAUAUAAUGGAUGGCACAGUUAAAUCGUAAACUCAAUAAAGAUUUUGCGACUUCAUUCUACAUAAGGAUAAUAUUCUAGAUAACAGAUAAUCACUUUAUCCUAAAUGAAAAUCUCUAUCACGAAGAAGUAUUUUCAGUGUAAUCAAUAACAUUUGAACUGUGGCAUACUUUGUAUAAGAAAGAUGAUCACUCGAAAUAUUAAUGACAAUCAAUUAAUUUAUGCAUGCUAUCUCCCAAAUUUCGAUUAUUCAGGAACGAAAAUUCAAUUAUUUGCCCAAAAAGUAACAUGGACGAUUUGUGAUUGCAAAUUUUAAUCAUCAAGUACUCGGACGAUAUACGCGAUUUUCGAUUAUAAGAAUGAUUUUUUUUACAACAAAAUCAUCCUUUAAUUGCACAUAUCAAGUGGAAAUUUUUAGCAACAAAUUUUAUGGAUAUACGAUAUUAUUAACUACAUUUAAAAAUGAUUGUAAUUCAGAUUGGAAGAUUGACAUUGGAUACCUUUGAAAUAUGAAUAUAUGAAUCAUCCUAUAUAAUAGAAUUGAAAUUGAUAUGAACUUUCUGAUUUUAUUAAAUAUUCAGAUUCUGAAGAAAGAUUGGUUGGAUUUUAGAUUAAACAAUCUAGAUUAAAAUUAAACAAUCUGUUCGAAAUGUGUCAUGGACAAGACGUGCAACGCAUGGCAAAUUUAUAUUAUUAACUAUACGGAGUUAUGCAUUUCAUUUUUACGAUUUCAUUUUGUAGAACGAUUACGAAUCUACAAAGAAAUAGCUUCAUUCAUUUACGAUGAAUCGCAAAUAAAAAUCAUAUUAUAAGAUUAGAAACGUUUUCAUUUCCAUAGAUCUAAUAUAAAAUCUUAAUGUUUUUAUAUAGUUUUUAUAAAAGAAAAUGUUCCAAUGAACAUCAUAUAUGAUUGCGAGCGUAUAAUUGAUGUAUUAAAUGUAUAAUUGAUUAAAUGUAUAAUUAUAAAUUAAAAUUGACAUUAGAAUCCGUGCUAUCAAUGUAAUCAAACAUCAGGCAUUAUUGUGAAAAAGAAUUGAUAGAAAACAUUCUUCCAUAAAAAGAAACAUAGUUUGGAGAUUCUUCUGUAAAAGGACCAUUAGAUAUGGAUAUUAAUAUUAAUAUUCUAUUAGUUUCUUUAAUUGAAUAUCCAAUAUUUUUCUACAAAAGUAUUAAAUCGAUGUGAUAUAUGAAUAUCCUGUAUUGCAGUGAUUAUGAGGCUUUCAUUACUGAAAUGCAAUUGAUUAAAAAAUCGAUUGAUAAUUCCCAAAUUAAAAUGCAUAUAUAUCAUUGUGGAAAAUCUUCUUGAAGAAUAUUUUUCAAUAAUUAAAAGAGCAUAUUUACAACAUCCACAGUAUUAAUUCUUUUAAAGAAAGAGCAUUAAAUAUGAAUAUUAAUAUUUCUAUGAAUCUAUCAGUUUGAACAUCCAACAGUCUUCUGUAUAAAAAGUACCAGAUAUAAAUAUGGAUAUGAAUAUCCUGCAUAACAAUGAUUGUGAAGAUUUCAUAAUUGGAAUUUGCUAUCAUAUAAUCGAUUAAAAAAUCGAUUGAUAUUGUUAAGUUAUAAUAUAUAUAUCAGUGCACUAUUACUGAAAUUGUUAAUGCAAAACAUUUUCCAACAAUCUACACUAUCAGUGUGCUAUUAUGGAAAUCAUUAAUUCAAAAUAUUUUUCCAACAAAAAAAAGAAAAAUCAAUUUGAACGUCCAAAGUAUCAAUUUAAAUAUUUCAUUUUUAAAAAUCUAAUUGUUUUAUUCAUAAUUUCCAUCUACAUCCUCAAAAUAAAAAAAGUAUUAUAAAGUAUUAUAAUUGUCUCUUCAUUAUCAUUUAAUUAUUCAUAGAUCACAAUAUGUUAAAACUCAAAAAAUAUAAAUAUUACGCAUUUUAAUAUUUGUAAAAUAAUAAAUUAAACUCUUCAUAAAUCUUUUGAUUUUCAUGUGGACCAGUUAUAUUGUGCUACAGUUAAUUUCUCCUUUAUAAUAAAAUUGACAUUAGAAUCCGUGCUAUCUAUUUUUAAUUAAUUAUUUUAUUUUAUUUUUUUACAUUUUAGAAAAUAUUCCUAGAUGCAUAUGAAAAAUAUGAAUAUAACAUAAUAACAAUUAGUUAUGAAUGUCAAAUAUUAAUAACUAACUAAAUUUAAUAUGUCUUCAUUUUUCAAAAUAAAUAAACUAAACAGUAGGCAUGUCCUAUUUCUUGUUUUCAAGUUAUUUCAUGUUGUGAUAAUUCCUUCGAUAGACAAAAGUAAAGGGUCGAACUAAAAGCAGUUAAUUAUUUACAAACAGAUUUCAAUAUUUGAAAUAAGAUCCUACAGUUUGAUUUUAUUAUAUUUCCUUUUAACUUUAAAUUUAAAUUAAUAAACAUUAUUGCUUAAUGCUAAAUAAUUAAAUUAAUAUUAAAUUGAUUAAUAAUAAAUAAUAUUAAUUAGUAAUAAUUAAUAUUAAUUACCGAUUAAUGAUAAUUAAUAACAAUCCUGAAAAUAUGUAUUUAUAAAAUAGAUAUAAAACAUAUAAAUACAGAUGCAAAUAGCAAAUCAUAGAGAUUAUAAAAAACAUUAUUAUUUUUUAAAGUCGAUAUUUCAGAAUAAUAUAUAAUAAUAAUAUUUCAAAAUCCAAUAAAAUAUAAUAGAUAUGGAUCAAUAUAUAUCAAUGCGUCUAUCUUGUUUAUGGAUAUAUCGGAUUAGAAUAUAUCAUGAGAAUAACAAUUUAAUUUUAAAUAUUCCGAUAGAUGUCAUAGAUUAUACUAUUAAUGUAAUGAAAUAACUUGAAAGUGCGUUUACUAAUUUAUCGACAUAAUUGGUGCAAUUAAAAAUAAUUUUAUAACAAAUUGUAAUGUAAUAAAUCUAUAUAUUUAUGAUUAUUAUAAUAUAUUUAUAAUAAAUAUAUAUUUAUAAAUAA